AAUUAUUGGGUAUUAGUUUAUUCAUUGGUUGGGGCCGAUAGAGGGGGUUGGAUUACGCAUAUAUAAACAGCAUACGUGUGUGUGACCCAGACGAGCGUCACUUCCCGGUAUCCCGUUUCGCUUCCGGCGUAUGGACUGAGGGCUGUUGUUAUCUUGGCUGUGCAGGACGAUUGCUGCAACUGUAAACAUCUCCGUGGCUGCAGAUAUUGUGGCUUUGACUUGUCGGCGGCGUGUUUCAUCUGUUUAUGCGAUCACAUUCAGUCAAUACGAUGCUGCGUAUGGGCGGAUGACGACUGUAUAUGCCAAGUUAUUCUCCUUGUGUAUCCUGAGCUCCACCAGCUGAGUGAUUAAACUGAAACUAAAACUUUGCAUUGCCACUAUGGAGUAUUAUCUUCACCUCCACUGAUUCCCGGGUCCCUGUGCCUGUUAUUCGGUAUGUCUCACUCAUGUGGGUUUAUUACAGAAAUGUAUUGUGACGACUGAUUAACAUGAUUAGUUUUCCCCCAUUUUAUAGA